AUUAUAAUAAUAUUUUAUGACGCAAUCUAAAACCAUUCAUCAAAUCCAUCCAUUCUAUAACAAAUAAAUCAAAUCCAACAAUCAAAUCCAAUCUACAACUAUAUAUCAAACACAAUCCACACAUCCCGCGGGCUACAAAUCAAACAAAACUGUAUAAAAUCAGCUUGCUCGUUCUGAUACCAUGCAUGUUAUCUAAAAGAUCGAUAUAACAAAAGGCUAACAAGAAAUACUCA
rnacentral:lncRNA from 1 species